GACUUCCAUGGUGCCAGGUGGCCAGGAAUGGUCUGCCAGAAGAUGAUAUACCUGAAUGAAGCUGUUAAGCUGGUAUCUCUUGUGUUUGGUUUUCUUAAGCAAAAACCAUCAGCCUUGUCAGUCUGAUUACCCACCCCCAACCCAGAGAGGACAACCGGCAUUCCAAUUAGCCGAGCCGUCUUACUGAAAUAUUUUCAUUAGCAGACUCAGCAGCAACAGUAAUAUAUGGGAACAUCGUUCCAUUUGCACAUACGGGAGGGGAACACUCACAAGCUGAAUGGUGAGCCGCAGUCUGCUUUCUUGCUUCAUCUUUGAGUGCCUCUUUACUGUAGGCGAGCACCUGUAGAGGCCAACAGCAUCUGAAAGUGAUUGCCUGACUAAGCGGCUCUGAAAGACGAUACUUUGAACACACAAUAGCAAAAACGGGCAGAAAAGGCAACAGGAGACAGAGAAUGAGGUCUGAAAGUGCCCAAACAUUCCAGAGAAUCUGUUCUCCUCGUGUUCCUUUUGGCCUGAUGACAAGCACAGAGCACCAAAAAGCUAGGUCUUGGGACAUCACCAGCCCUGGUCCGUAGACCCAGGAGGUUCGGCUAGUUAAGAUUCAGAAGAGCAUUCUAGACUGCCUGCUGCUCAGCUGGUAUAAACUGGCAAACUCCCCUUAUUUCAAGGGGCCUGCACUGAUUUAUACCAGCUGAGUAUCUAGCCUGCAGACUUGGAGGCAUUUGUGCCAAAUCUCCAAACCUUUUGACUUUUCCUAUCAGUAGCUGGCAUUCCAAGUGUGUUAAGCCCUCUCUGCCCUGAGGUAUCUGCCCAAGCAGCUCCCAGUGCUGGCUCUGAGAGUUAUGAGGAUAUAGCUGAUGGCAGAAUGGAGUCCUAUGUGUCUUUAUCCAGUCUCCAUAUAAGGCCAAGUCCUGACGCCCUGGCCCAGGCAAAAUCCCACUAGUGCCAAUGAGUGGGGCAGUGGUUCUGUCAGAUAGGAGGACAUGCCACCAUGGAUCAGACCAGUCCUCCAUCUACUCUAAUAUCUGGCCAUGGACUGUGGCCUGUACCAGUUGCAUUAGAGGAAGAUGCAAAAACCCCUGGAGUAGAUACUCCCUGACGUUUAGGAUCAGAUCAGCUGGCUAUCUAGAGGGGCUGCUUUCAGGGUGAGUGAAGCACACUGCACUUGCUGGCCAUGUUUGCAGGCCAACCAGCCCAUUGGAAAAGCUGUGCCAGAUCCUCUUUGGUGGGGGUAGGAGGUAAAGACAUCUGCCACUCUGCCUUGCAAGGGGGGCAGUGAAUAAGGAUCAGCCAAGGGAAAGAAUAAUCAACAUCCAUGGCAGGAGGGAUAGAACACUUCUGGUGGCAAAGUAAUGGAUUAGUCCUGCUUUUAUUAAAAUUUGCCAUCACUGAUAUGUGGGGUUCAUAUUUUCCCCCAGAAUCAUUGGUCACAAACUUGCUGCUUGAACAAGGAGAGAGUGAUAUUUUUAAACUAGCAGCUAACAGAAUUUUUAGAAAGCAAGGAAAAGUGGGUAGACAGAAUCCGCUACUAUGCUUGUCAGAAGUAAAGAAAGCCUGGCAAAUUCUUCUCUGUAAAAUUACUAUUUUGAUUGCGGCCUGAGUUGC